CGUGGAUAAUCUACCCUCAAGUCUGGGAUAAUCCUCCGAAAGGAGGUGUAAUACCGGAUAACACCUCAUGAUGGCAUCUUCGUGAGGUCAAAGGCGGGGCAACCUGUCGCCUGAGGAUGAGUCCGCGCUCCAUUAGCUUGUUGGUGGGGUAAAAGCCUACCAAGGCUGUGAUGGAUAGCCGGCCUGAGAGGGUGAUCGGCCACACUGGGACUGAGAUACGGCCCAG
rnacentral:rRNA from 1 species